rnacentral:rRNA from 1 species
CCCUUAGAUGUUCUGGGCCGCACGCGCGCUACACUGAUGCGUUCAACAAGUUUCCUUGGCCGAGAGGCCUGGGCAAUCUUCUUAAUAUGUAUCGUGAUAGGGAUAGAUUAUUGCAAUUAUUAAUCUUGAACGAGGAAUUCCUAGUAAACGCAGAUCAUCAAUCUGCAUUGAUUACGUCCCUGCCCUUUGUACACACCGCCCGUCGCACCUACCGAUUGGAUGUUCCGGUGAAGCCUCGGGAUGAGGACUGGUGCCUUUAUUGGCAUGAGUUGUUCAGAACUUGUCUAAACCUUAUCAUCUAGAGGAAGUAAAAGUCGUAACA